UGCUUUGCGCAGUGGCGAUAUCGUAACCAAUGAGGUACAACUGAGGUGCGAUUAUUGCUAGUUGAAAACUAAUACAGAUUUGUCCCGUUUGAAAUAAUCGAGUCUGUUAAAUGGUGGACAAGGUAUGCUAUUGUCUGUGAAA
rnacentral:snRNA from 1 species